UUUAGAGUUUGAUUCCAUGGCUCAGGAUGAACGCUGGCGGCGUGCUUAACACAUGCAAGUCGAACGAUGAAGCCCAGCUUGCUGGGUGGAUUAGUGGCGAACGGGUGAGUAACACGUGAGUAACCUGCCCUUAACUCUGGGAUAAGCCUGGGAAACUGGGUCUAAUACCGGAUAGGAGCGUCCACCGCAUGGUGGGUGUUGGAAAGAUUUAUCGGUUUUGGAUGGACUCGCGGCCUAUCAGCUUGUUGGUGAGGUAAUGGCUCACCAAGGCGACGACGGGUAGCCGGCCUGAGAGGGUGACCGGCCACACUGGGACUGAGACACGGCCCAGACUCCUACGGGAGGCAGCAGUGGGGAAUAUUGCACAAUGGGCGCAAGCCUGAUGCAGCGACGCCGCGUGAGGGAUGACGGCCUUCGGGUUGUAAACCUCUUUCAGUAGGGAAGAAGCGAAAGUGACGGUACCUGCAGAAGAAGCACCGCAA
rnacentral:rRNA from 1 species